UCCAUUAAUAUUAACAGUCUAUGUUUGCAACCAUGAUUGAAAAUAUUCCUUCCAUUCCAUUUCCUUUCCAUUCCAUUUUCGCUCUUUCAAUUCACUUCGGGAAUUAAUGUGUUGAAUCUGCCAGUCGGAAACAGGAGGACACUUGUGCCACCUGACCACGCCCACCUCACCUGUUGACUAUAAAUUGUUUGUGAAUCCUGUGGCUCAUCCUUUGCGCUCUCUGCCGGCACUCCAAUGCAUCCUGUGUGCGUCUUCAUAAGUUAACCACACAAACAUGAAUGCAAUUAAUCAAAAUCACCUUGAAGGAUAAGAAAAUAAACUACCACUGGUGUUCCAUCAAACCCUGUCUUCUCCCUGCUCUUAUUCAUCACUCCAUAUCACUUGAGGUCUUCUGACCGAGACUCUGUUUGCUCACCAAACCCUCACUCCACUCGAACCAUUUCACGUCACCCUACAGUUCCUUCAAUGAUAUUUUUUAAACUGCCUUUUGUCCCACUUUGUGAAGUGCCCUUGAGUUUGAGCAAGGUAUUUUUGAAAUGAAAUAUAUUACUAAACUCUAAAUAUAAUGAUGCCCCUGGUCACCUCUGACCUUGGCUUUCACUUUUCUUCAAACUGCUUCUUAAAGAUUACCAGCGAUAUUCGUCUAUGAUCCUACAUUUCUAAUAAAGCUGUCCCAUUUACUUUC